GAUGAACGCUAGCGGCAGGCCUAACACAUGCAAGUCGAGGGGUAGAGUUAGCUUGCUAACUUGAGACCGGCGCACGGGUGCGUAACGCGUAUGCAAUCUACCUUGUACAGAGGGAUAGCCCAGAGAAAUUUGGAUUAAUACCUCAUAGUAUCUUUACCUGGCAUCGGGUAAUUAUUAAAGUUCCAACGGUACAAGAUGAGCAUGCGUCCCAUUAGUUAGUUGGUAAGGUAACGGCUUACCAAGACAAUGAUGGGUAGGGGUCCUGAGAGGGAGAUCCCCCACACUGGUACUGAGACACGGACCAGACUCCUACGGGAGGCAGCAGUGAGGAAUAUUGGUCAAUGGACGCAAGUCUGAACCAGCCAUGCCGCGUGCAGGAAGACGGUCCUAUGGAUUGUAAACUGCUUUUAUACAGGAAGAAACAACUCUACGUGUAGAGUCUUGACGGUACUGUAGGAAUAAGGAUCGGCUAACUCCGUGCCAGCAGCCGCGGUAAAGUAG
rnacentral:rRNA from 1 species